GAAGCCCCCUCGCCCAAUGGGGACAGGCAACGGGGGAGUGACGUGGACCACAGCAACCAAUGGGAACACGACAGGGGAACAGCAAACAAGAUAACAAGAGAUCAUCAGACCACUUGCUGCCUGGAAAAAAUGAAUCUUUGUAGAAGAAACCUAGCAAAAAUUCUCUUUAUAGAGCCAUCCCAUACAAAACAUGUCAUAUGAAUUGAACAAGAGUUCCCUGCAGAACUUGACUAUAAACCAAGGUGUUCCUGCAGCAGCUCAUACCUUGGAGAUUUGGAGACAGAGAAAGUGAUUGGGAAGUCUCAGAAGAGAUUCUUUUAAAGCUGGUUGACUCUAUGA